rnacentral:rRNA from 1 species
GAUCAUGGCUCAGGACGAACGCUGGCGGCGCGCUUAACACAUGCAAGUCGAACGAAGAGCGAUGGAAGCUUGCUUCUAUCAAUCUUAGUGGCGAACGGGUGAGUAACGCGUAAUCAACCUGCCCUUCCAGAGGGGGGACGAACAGUUGGAAACGAACUGCUAAUACCGCAUACGAUCCAAUCUCGGCAUCGAGACUGGAUGAAAGGUGGCCUCUAUUUAUAAGCUAUCACUGAAGGG